UACGUAGGCAGCAAGCGUUUGUUCGGAGUUACUGGGCGUAAAGGGUGUGUAGGCGGUUCUUUUAAGUUUGCUGUGAAAUCCUCCCGGCUCAACCGGGAGGGUGCGCCGAAUACUGAGGGACUAGAGUGUGGGAGAGGAAAGUGGAAUUCCUGGUGAUAGCGGUGAAAUGCGUAGAUAUCAGGAGGAACACCGGUGGUGUAGACGGGUUGCUGGGCCGACACUGACGCUGAAGCGCGAAAGCCAGGGGAGCAAACGGG
rnacentral:rRNA from 1 species